CCUUGAAGAGAACUACCAUGGAUUUGAAAAAUAUUACUCAGCAGUUGUCUUGCAUUGGUUGUCCAUGAAGCCCAGCUACAUGGAUAGAGUCAGCUGUCAGACAGGUUAUGUCUUCUGUACAGGGUCUGAGGAUUUAUGUUAUACCAGAAGCCAGAAAAAUGACUAUGUACUGAGCAGCAUGUCCGUAAUAAUUCAGAAUUAAGGGAGUGGAAAGAGUAAAACUACUGGCUUAAUAUUAUCAAUGAAGAGCUAUUUAUGAAUGAAUUGCUAGUAAAAAUAAGGAAGACAGUGAAACGGUUACCAAAUCCAGUAACUGAGUUCUGCUCUGCUAUAUGAAUUUGCAGUUGCUGAGAGAAAAACCUACAUGUAAGAAGAUUAUGG